UGGCGAACGGGUGAGUAACACGUGGGUAACCUGCCCAUCAGAAGGGGAUAACACUUGGAAACAGGUGCUAAUACCGUAUAACACUAUUUUCCGCAUGGAAGAAAGUUGAAAGGCGCUUUUGCGUCACUGAUGGAUGGACCCGCGGUGCAUUAGCUAGUUGGUGAGGUAACGGCUCACCAAGGCAACGAUGCAUAGCCGACCUGAGAGGGUGAUCGGCCACACUGGGACUGAGACACGGCCCAGACUCCUACGGGAGGCAGCAGUAGGGAAUCUUCGGCAAUGGACGAAAGUCUGACCGAGCAACGCCGCGUGAGUGAAGAAGGUUUUCGGAUCGUAAAACUCUGUUGUUAGAGAAGAACAAGGAUGAGAGUAAAACGUUCAUCCCUGACGUAUCUACCAGAA
rnacentral:rRNA from 1 species